AUCCAGUUGACGAGUCCCAAAUAGAACGAAACGUGUGUCAAACUGGAU
rnacentral:hammerhead_ribozyme from 1 species